rnacentral:rRNA from 1 species
UACAGAGGUCUCAAGCGUUGUUCGGAUUCAUUGGGCGUAAAGAGCGCGCAGGCGGUCGAUCAAGUCGAGUGUGAAAGCCCCCGGCUCAACUGGGGAGGGUCAUUCGAUACUGAUCGACUCGAAGGCAGGAGAGGGUAGUGGAAUUCCCGGUGUAGUGGUGAAAUGCGUAGAUAUCGGGAGGAACACCAGUGGCGAAGGCGACUACCUGGCCUGUUCUUGACGCUGAGGCGCGAAAGCUAGGGGAGCAAACAGG